GUGAGAAUAUCAAAAGUCCUAUACCCGGGCUGAGUGAACUUAUGAAUAGGUAGAGAUAUAAUCGACAAUUCGAUCCGAGGGUUGCCUCGUGUAUUGGAUUAUGCGAUCAAUCUCACAUAGCUGAGGCAUUUUGGAAGUAAUAUUGUCGGCGUGUGUUGUCAUGCUUAGGCACUUUGCUUUCAAUUGUUCGACGAUGCUAUGGACCGUAGUUACCAAACCCAUCCCUGGCCUUUUU
rnacentral:lncRNA from 1 species